rnacentral:rRNA from 1 species
CGUGCGGUUCUAUUUUGUUGGUUUUUGGAAUCGCCGUAAUGAUUAAUAGGGACAGUCGGGGGCAUCAGUACUCACAUGCUAGAGGUGAAAUUCUUGGAUUUUGUGAAGACUAACUUCUGCGAAAGCAUUUGCCAAGGAUGUUUUCAUUAAUCAAGAACGAAGAUUAGGGUAUCAAAAACGAUUAGAUACCGUUGUAGUCUUAACAGUAAACUAUGCCGACUAGGGAUCGGUCGAUGUUAUCUUUUUGACUCGAUCGGCACCUUACGAGAAAUCAAAGUUUUUGGGUUCUGGGGGGAGUAUGGUCGCAAGACUGAAACUUAAAGAAAUCGACGGAAGGGCACCACCAGGAGUGGAGCCUGCGGCUUAAUUUGAUUCAACACGG